CUCGAUUUUACUGCUGAAAUUACUCCCACUGUGGCUAGUCUAAGCUAAAUCCCCAAACUUAACUCAGACGGAAAUCCCCAAAUCGACCACACCCUAACAUAGCCUCCUCCCCGAGCCGCCGCCGCCGCACCCCACCCUGCGCGGCUGCCGACCGCCCUCCGCCACACUCCAGUGCCAGCUUCCUCCCCGACCACGCGCCGACCACCGUCUGCCACACCUAGUGCCACUCCUCCCGGACCAUGCCGCCGAGCAUCCUCUGCCGCCCCGACCACCAUUCGUCGGACCUCCAGCAACGCCCAAGCAGCCAAGCCUCCUCCACGCGUCCUCCGCCAGGCUCCUCUAGGCUCGAGUUGCUCAAGUGUUUCAGCAGAAGGAUCUGUUCGAGUGAGGAUGUCCACAAGGAUGACGUCUAACUUCCACCAGAUCUGGCAUGGAACGAGGAUCCCCAAGUGACUCGCAGAUGCGAAGGAAAAUUGAGCAAGGGAAGGAUAAGAUUGAUGUUUCCUACCUGCCAUACUCAUCUAUUUCGUCUUUCAGUUGACAUGCCUACUGUACGAAUUACAGUCUUUGUUUCAGAUGUCAAUACAAGAAAGGUAACCUUGUGUUAGAUCUUCAAUCCAAGGGAGAAAUUGGAGCAUCGGGACAUUUAAACUGAACCUAAAUUAAGGAAUCAUGAUACUACUUUAUGGUCUGACUGGUGAAAGAGGUUGAAAAUGUUCCUGUAAGAUUCGUCAAGGCACCUUGCCUUAACCAUAUGCCCUGAGCUCACACAGAACUUACAGGCUUUAUUCUUUGUGUUUGUUACAUCUUGUACUGCUCAAAUGUCUAGAAACUAUAGAUGCUAAAUUAUGAGGGAAGUCUUCAUGUGUAAUCAAUGAAU
rnacentral:rRNA from 1 species